UACGUAUGGUGCAAGCGUUAUCCGGAUUUACUGGGUGUAAAGGGAGCGUAGACGGCGACGCAAGUCUGGAGUGAAAGCCCGGGGCCCAACCCCGGGACUGCUCUGGAAACUGCGGCGCUGGAGUACGGGAGGGGCAGGCGGAAUUCCUGGUGUAGCGGUGAAAUGCGUAGAUAUUAGGAGGAACACCGGUGGCGAAGGCGGCUUACUGGACUGUAACUGACGUUGAGGCUCGAAGGCGUGGGGAGCAAACAGG
rnacentral:rRNA from 1 species